CUCGUAGGCGGCCGACUAAGUCAGACGUGAAAUCCCUCGGCUUAACCGGGGAACUGCGUCUGAUACUGGACGGCUUGAGUUCGGGAGAGGGAUGCGGAAUUCCAGGUGUAGCGGUGAAAUGCGUAGAUAUCUGGAGGAACACCGGUGGCGAAGGCGGCAUCCUGGACCGACACUGACGCUGAGGAGCGAAAGCCAGGGGAGCAAACG
rnacentral:rRNA from 1 species